rnacentral:pre_miRNA from 1 species
AAUAUAUGACGCCAUUGACUUUUUCUCACAUGUUUGACCAUUCGUUUUAUUCAAAAAAUUUACAUAAUUAUAAUUUAUUUUGUCAUGAGUUGUUUUAUCACUCAUAGUAGCUUAAAUGUGAUUUAUAUCUUAUACAUUUGCAUAAAAUUUUUAAAUAAGACGAAUGAUCAAGCAUGUGAGAAAAAGUCAACGGCGUUAUCUAUU